GACGAACGCUGGCGGCGUGCCUAAUACAUGCAAGUCGAGCGGACAGAUGGGAGCUUGCUCCCUGAAGUCAGCGGCGGACGGGUGAGUAACACGUGGGCAACCUGCCUGUAAGACUGGGAUAACUUCGGGAAACCGGAGCUAAUACCGGAUAACACCGAGGACCUCAUGGUCCUUAGUUGAAAGAUGGCUUCGGCUAUCACUUACAGAUGGGCCCGCGGCGCAUUAGCUAGUUGGUGAGGUAACGGCUCACCAAGGCGACGAUGCGUAGCCGACCUGAGAGGGUGAUCGGCCACACUGGGACUGAGACACGGCCCAGACUCCUACGGGAGGCAGCAGUAGGGAAUCUUCCGCAAUGGACGAAAGUCUGACGGAGCAACGCCGCGUGAGCGAUGAAGGCCUUCGGGUCGUAAAGCUCUGUUGUUAGGGAAGAACAAGUACCGUUCGAAUAGGGCGGUACCUUGACGGUACCUAACCAGAAAGCCACGGCUAACUACGUG
rnacentral:rRNA from 1 species